rnacentral:rRNA from 1 species
UACGGAGGGGGCUAGCGUUGCUCGGAAUCACUGGGCGUAAAGCGCACGUAGGCGGCUUUCUAAGUCAGGGGUGAAAUCCUGGAGCUCAACUCCAGAACUGCCUUUGAUACUGGAGAGCUUGAGUCCGGAAGAGGUGAGUGGAACUCCGAGUGUAGAGGUGAAAUUCGUAGAUAUUCGGAAGAACACCAGUGGCGAAGGCGGCUCACUGGUCCGGUACUGACGCUGAGGUGCGAAAGCGUGGGGAGCAAACAGGG